rnacentral:rRNA from 1 species
UUUUUCCUACGGGGGGCAGCAGUGGGGAAUAUUGCGCAAUGGGGGCAACCCUGACGCAGCAACGCCGCGUGCGGGAUGAAGGCUUUCGGGUUGUAAACCGCUUUCAGCAGGGAUGACAUCGACAGUACUUGCAGAAGAAGCCCCGGCUAACUACGUGCCAGCAGCCGCGGUAAUACGUAGGUGACAAGCGUUGUCCGGAUUUACUGGGUGUAAAGGGCGCGUAGGCGGGAUAGCAAGUCAGUCGUGAAAUGCCGAGGCUUAACCUCGGAGCUGCGAUUGAAACUGUUAUUCUUGAGUAUCGGAGG